rnacentral:lncRNA from 1 species
UAACAGGCUCUAUAUUCUCACACAAAGAAAUAAAGUAACAUGGAAAUCCUCUGAUGGAAAGACAAUAAAUCAGAUAGAUCAUAUUAUGGUUCAUGGGAAUAUGAGGACAUCGAUAUCAGAUACAAAUGUAACGAGAGAAGCAGGUGAGAAUACUGACCACUACUUUGUAAGGUCAAAGAUCAGAAUCCAACUGGCAAGAAAUAAAGGUGAUAACAAGCGAAAGAGAGAAAUAUCGCAUUGACAAGCUAAAAAAUGUGGAUGCAAGGAAAAAGUACAAUCUUGAAGUGAAAAACAGAUUCCAAGUACUGGAAGAAAGUGACAGGAAAUUCAGUGUUUAAAUACGAAAGUGCAGUAGAGAUAUACAGAUAUACACAGAGGCAGCUAAACAGGUAUUGGGGAGUAGUAAAAAGAUUAGUAAACAGUAAAAUCACAAAAAUACUGAACUCGGA